UCAUCGGUGGUUCAGUGGCAGAAUGCUCGCCUGCCACGCGGGCGGCCCAGGUUCGAUUCUCGGCCGAUGCA
rnacentral:tRNA from 1 species